rnacentral:misc_RNA from 1 species
UACGUAGGGUGCUAACGUUGUUCGGAAUCACUGGGCAUAAAGCGCACGUAGGCGGCUAAGUCAGUUCGGCGUGAAAGCCCUCGGCUCAACCGAGGAACAGCGCCGAAAACUGCUUGGCUAGAGGACGGUUGGGGUGAGUGGAACUCCUGGUGGAGCGGUGAAAUGCGUAGAUAUCAGGAGGAACACCAGUGGCGAAAGCGGCUCACUGGACCGUAUCUGACGCUGAGGUGCGAAAGCUAGGGUAGCGAACGGG